UGAGGUCAUCCACUUUGGUGGCAAGGACAGGAAGGCAGAUUAUUAUCUGAAUGGUGUCAGAUUAGGAAAAGGAGAGGUGUAACGAGACCUGGGUGUGAUUGUACAUCAGUCACUGAAAGUAAGCAUGCAGGUAUGAGGUUGGCUUCAUGCAGAUAAACACGUUAAUUCCAGCCUGGCUUGUUUUUUUACAAGAAAAUCACUGCUGAUGGCUCCAUCUACUGAGCAGUUUAGAAAUUAGAUGAAGCAACACAAAGACAGCGUGCUAUGGAAACAACAGCAACAGUUUCCCAGUCGGAGGCACCUAGCAAAGAGUGCUCUCAUGCAGCCAGCCGGCCAGGGAACUGUGAACCGGAACUCAAGAUGUUCUGUUUGAUUAAACAGAUGGAAAAUCCUGGUGUGUGGCUCCCUCUGGCACCUCGCAAUGAGCAGACGUG